UCUGUAUUGUCAUGCCAUCGAAAGCCUACCAGUCUUGUCUGAGUUUAGAAGCUAAGCAUGGCAGAGUCUGGUUAGUACUUGGAUGGGAAGCCAUCAGGGAUUACCAGGGGUCUUCAGGU
rnacentral:rRNA from 1 species